GCUUACGGCCAUAUCAGCCUGGGUACGCCCGAUCUCGUCUGAUCUCGGAAGCUAAGCAGGGUCGGGCCUGGUUAGUACUUGGAUGGGAGACUGACUGGGAAUACCAGGUGCUGUAAGCA
rnacentral:rRNA from 1 species